rnacentral:lncRNA from 1 species
AUUUUACACAGGCAUUUUUUCAGCUCGUCACGAUAGCGCUGUCUUUCCAUGGCAACCGCCGUUUCCAUGGCACAGGCUGUACGCUCCUCCGGAGGCUGAGGGGCUUUCUGCAGAAGCUUUGCCAUCCUCAACUGUGAGCUCACGGUUGCCCUCCCCUCUCUCUUUCUCUCUCUUCCUCCUUCCUGCCCUCCCCGUUCCCUCCCUCUCUCCUUUUUUCAGGCACAGAUUCAGCCUACCGUUUAUGUGAAUUUAGGCACAUUUUCUAACAAAAAUUCACUAAAUGGAGCGAAGCUAAUUUUAAAAUGAAGUCGACUUUUCCCUCUAUUAUGUGUCAGCAGCUAUUCUGGCAUGAGAUCUGCAGAAAGCAACAGAAAUCAUCUAGAUCUUCCAUCCUACACAAGUACGGCUCUUGCUCCUUCUGAAGAGUCAAAAUACUGUGAAGUUUCCAGAGCAGGGGUUGCAAUAGUGUCCCCCAAAGUUUCAUUUUGUUUCAUUCCUGGCACUUUUUUCCAUCACAGAGAUACUGGGUUUGAUCAGGUAAAAGAAUGAAGACAUCUUAACAAGCACAUAUACAUUUAGAAAAUAACACAAAAAUAAUAUAAACAAUACAGAAUCUCAGACAAGGUGAUAGGAAAUUAACAAUGGUUGUUGUAUUACAUAUUGAUAUCUUCAAUUUGGAUAUGCAAAUAAACAAAUAUAGGCAUAAAAGAUUGAUCAUGCACUUAAACAUUAACUGUUCUUUUCAUCAGAGCAGUAAAAGCCAUAGUACAACUACGUUAGCUAUCCUGUGUAUACACAUAUACUAAAUGUUGGUGAAAAGGAACAGAAACGCCUGUACUUUGAUGGAGGGGAUGUGAGAUGGUACAAACACCUAGAAUAUAGCUUGGAAGUUUAUUAUGAAGUAUAUACAACCUCUAUGAUUCAGAAAUUACACUUCCAGGGCUCUGGUCAAGAAAAAUUAAAAGUAUGUAAAAUAUC